UUGCAGAUGCCAAUGCAUCCAUCACAGGUGCUGCAGUUGUUUUAACUGGUCUUGUGGGUGCAAAUUUUGUACUAAUGAUGCUUGACAAACUUCGUUUGAAUGAUCCUAUAGCUCGAGGAAUUGCAACGGCAUCUAGCUCUCAUGGAUUUGGAACGGCAGCAUUAUCAGCAAAGGAGCCUGAAGCCCUUCCUUUUUGUGCAAUCGCUUAUGCUCUAACUGGUAUAUUUGGCACAUUAAUUUGUUCAGUUCCAGCAUUCAGGCACAGCCUGCUUCUGAUAAUUGGAUAAAAUUAUUUGCAAGUUUCACACAAUUAUAUUUUGGGCAUCAAUAUGAGUAUCCUUGCC